CGCCUCCUAAAAGGUAACGGAGGCGCUCAAAGGUUCCCUCAGAAUGGUUGGAAAUCAUUCAUAGAGUGUAAAGGCAUAAGGGAGCUUGACUGCGAGACCUACAAGUCGAGCAGGGUCGAAAGACGGACUUAGUGAUCCGGUGGUUCCGCAUGGAAGGGCCAUCGCUCAACGGAUAAAAGCUACCCCGGGGAUAACAGGCUUAUCUCCCCCAAGAGUUCACAUCGACGGGGAGGUUUGGCACCUCGAUGUCGGCUCAUCGCAUCCUGGGGCUGUAGUCGGUCCCAAGGGUUGGGCUGUUCGCCCAUUAAAGCGGUACGCGAGCUGGGUUCAGAACGUCGUGAGACAGUUCGGUCCCUAUCCGUCGUGGGCGUAGGAAAUUUGAGAGGAGCUGUCCUUAGUACGAGAGGACCGGGAUGGACAUACCUCUGGUGUACCAGUUGUCGUGCCAACGGCAUAGCUGGGUAGCUAUGUGUGGACGGGAUAAGUGCUGAAAGCAUCUAAGCAUGAAGCCCCCCUCAAGAUGAGAUUUCCCAACUUCGGUUAUAAGAUCCCUCAAAGAUGAUGAGGUUAAUAGGUUCGAGGUGGAAGCAUGGUGACAUGUGGAGCUGACGAAUACUAAUCGAUCGAAGACUUAAUCAAAA
rnacentral:rRNA from 1 species